rnacentral:misc_RNA from 1 species
UCGAAUUUAAAUUCAUUGAGGGAAGAUGGAAUAGCAGUCUAGGAUUGUCGCUGGCUCUCUACAUGUGUGCAUGUGCACGUCCUUGCUAUCUCUGUCGACCUUUCAACAUACACACACCUGUGCACCUAUUGUAGGUCCUCGUAAGAGGAUCUAUGUAUUUUCACUUCACAACCCUAUCGUAUGUCCAUAGAAUGUUAUCUCAAAGACCUUCCGAGCUUGAUUGAUCGGUUGGUCAAUGAAAUAAAAAUCAUAUA